rnacentral:tRNA from 1 species
CCACUAAACUAUACCCGCUACAC